AACGGGGUUUUUAGNUAACACGNUGNAGNUAACCNUGCCCUUGACUUUGGGAUAACUUCAGGAAACUGGGGCUAAUACCGGAUAGGAGCUCCUGCUGCAUGGNUGGGGGUUGGAAAGUUUCGGCGGUUGGGGAUGGACUCGCGGCUUAUCAGCUUGUUGGUGGGGUAGUGGCUUACCAAGGCUUUGACGGGUAGCCGGCCUGAGAGGGUGACCGGCCACAUUGGGACUGAGAUACGGCCCAGACUCCUACGGGAGGCAGCAGUGGGGAAUAUUGCACAAUGGGCGGAAGCCUGAUGCAGCAACGCCGCGUGCGGGAUGACGGCCUUCGGGUUGUAAACCGCUUUCGCCUGUGACGAAGCGUGAGUGACGGUAAUGGGUAAAGAAGCACCGGCUAACUACGUGCCAGCAGCCGCGGUGAUACGUAGGGUGCGAGCGUUGUCCGGAUUUAUUGGGCGUAAAGGGCUCGUAGGUGGUUGAUCGCGUCGGAAGUGUAAUCUUGGGGCUUAACCCUGAGCGUGCUUUCGAUACGGGUUGACUUGAGGAAGGUAGGGGAGAAUGGAAUUCCUGGUGGAGCGGUGGAAUGCGCAGAUAUCAGGAGGAACACCAGUGGCGAAGGCGGUUCUCUGGGCCUUUCCUGACGCUGAGGAGCGAAAGCGUGGGGAGCAAACAGGCUUAGAUACCCUGGUAGUCCACGCUGUAAACGGUGGGUACUAGGUGUGGGGUCCAUUCCACGGGNUUCCGUGCCGUANCUAACGCNUUUAAGUACC
rnacentral:rRNA from 1 species